CAAAAGAGCGAGUUAGUGACCAAUAGAGACGUCAGGGAGAGUCUGAGCUCAACAAACACCAGGACGAGUAUUUCUUCCGCCCAGGGGGGUGGGGGUGAGGCCGAAGGCUGGGACUCCAAGCCCAGGCAGCGCCCCGCCCCCCCCCCCAAAGCAUCACCAUCUCGAUCAUCCCAACCAUUCCCAGCCCGGGGAAGAGGGUCCUGCGCCCCAGACCUCCCUCAGAGACACGAUCUUGAUUCAUUCAAUAAGCAGUUACCGAGUGUCUUCUUUAUACCAGGAGCUCAAGAAACAAGGGGGGAAACAAUAGUUCUUCCCCUCCAGGAGCUUAUGUUUUAUUGGAAUCAAAUCCAAUCCUACCUAUUGAAUUCAAAUUUACCAAACAUUUUGUACCCCCAAUAUCUGCAAGACACUGUGCUAAAGACUAGGGGAAAUAUAGGGAUAUGAUUAUGAAGGUAGAAUUCCUGUUCUUGAGUUUGUAGUCUCUAGUGGAAUGUGGUGGGGAGGCAGGUAUAACAUGGGCACAGACAAAUAUAAUGAAAGACAGAGAGUAAUGCAGACAAAAAAAAAGAGAUUUUAGGGGCAUCUGGUUGAAGGAACUAGGCAUGUUUAGCUUAGAGAAGAAAAGAUUUAGGGGUGUUUAUAUAGUGGUCUUCAGGGGCAGCAUAUAAUAGAGAGAGCCUUUGGGGUCUGAGUCCAAAACCCCUCUAGACUGUGUAUCAUGAAUUGAGAUCAGAAAAAGGAAUCCAACAGGCCAUCAAAGAACUUCCUAAGAAAAAAUCCCCAGGGCCUGAUGGAUUCACAAGUGAAUUCUAUCAAACAUUCAAAGAACAGCUAAUCCCAAUACUAUACAAACCAUUUGACAUUAUAAGCAAAGAGGGAGUUCUACCAA
rnacentral:lncRNA from 1 species